rnacentral:rRNA from 1 species
GUCGAGCGGUAGAGAGGUGCUUGCACCUCUUGAGAGCGGCGGACGGGUGAGUAAAGCCUAGGAAUCUGCCUGGUAGUGGGGGAUAACGCUCGGAAACGGACGCUAAUACCGCAUACGUCCUACGGGAGAAAGCAGGGGACCUUCGGGCCUUGCGCUAUCAGAUGAGCCUAGGUCGGAUUAGCUAGUUGGUGAGGUAAUGGCUCACCAAGGCGACGAUCCGUAACUGGUCUGAGAGGAUGAUCAGUCACACUGGAACUGAGACACGGUCCAGACUCCUACGGGAGGCAGCAGUGGGGAAUAUUGGACAAUGGGCGAAAGCCUGAUCCAGCCAUGCCGCGUGUGUGAAGAAGGUCUUCGGAUUGUAAAGCACUUUAAGUUGGGAGGAAGGGCAGUAAAUUAAUACUUUGCUGUUUUGACGUUACCGACAGAAUAAGCACCGGCUAACUCUGUGCCAGCAGCCGCGGUAAUACAGAGGGUGCAAGCGUUAAUCGGAAUUACUGGGCGUAAAGCGCGCGUAGGUGGUUCGUUAAGUUGGAUGUGAAAUCCCCGGGCUCAACCUGGGAACUGCAUUCAAAACUGUCGAGCUAGAGUAUGGUAGAGGGUGGUGGAAUUUCCUGUGUAGCGGUGAAAUGCGUAGAUAUAGGAAGGAACACCAGUGGCG